UGAAAUCUAGAUUUAUUGAGAAGGCAUCAGGAGGAACACGAUGCUAAGUUAAGUAUGACUUUUAAAAGAUUAAUACGGAUGGGUCAGCAGGUGGUGGGUUAGGUUGGUUUGGGUGACCGGCUGCAGCAUUGCUUUGCAGAGAAGUUGUAACAAAUGAUUGGGUUUGAUCUCAUUUGAACUGAAGCAAACUGAAAAAAAACCCUCAGCCCCAUUUAGCACAACCCAGCAGCCACGGAUUUGUGCCUACUCGCUGAUUUCACAGCGUUGUACAAGCCUACAGACCAAAGGGGGAAAAGCUGCUUGAACUCCUUGAAGCGCAGGGGCUGGUGCAGGGGUGCGGAGCCACAGCAUCACCCCUCGUUAGCAAAAUCCCCACCAAAGGCCAGCCCUCCCCAUCACAUCAGCUAACACUGGCUUCCUGAGAACCAGCUAAUCUUCGCAUGCCUCGGCCUUUCCCAACACAUCCUGGUUCACAAGUUCAGCAGCUUCAAAGUUGCAUCUGAUCAUUAACCCUGAAAGAUCAGAGAUUAGUACAGAGUUUAAAUGGCGUGUUUGGGAUGUCUGAGAGGCACAAAGUUCAGAACAAAUCUGUGCCCAAAUCCUGAGACAAUCUUCCCAAAGUUUAAGAGGCCAAUGCCUCUUAAAAGGGUUUCGGUUCAGGGGUGCGAUGCCUGAGCAUCGUGUAGGGUUGCGCCUUCAUUUCUCUUCUUUUCUUUUUAAAGUUACUUUCAUGCAGCUGCUAUUUCAAAAGUGACCAUGAGGUUUGGGUGCUUCUGGCUGUCUGUGGUGAGCGUGGCUGGGCUUGUAGAUCCCAGGGACUUCAGCCAGAAAGGCAAGACAGUCUAAAUAAAAGCCCUGCAAUUCAGUUCUUCAUUUAUGCCAGGGUCUUUGAUAGCAAAUUACUUUUCUCUUGUUCAUUUUCUCUGUCACUUUUAUUCCUGAUAAGAUAGUUAAAGAAGAAAGUGCUGUAUGUGACCAUGUUAUACACAAAAAACCCCAGCAGAAGACAGGAGCCCCAUCUAUCACAGCUGGUGAAAUUGCUGCUCCUCAGCAAACUGGGAUCGGCGGGUAUCGCUGGAGCCCUCAGCGAGGGGGAUCUCUCGGGAGCUGACGGAAGCUCAGGCUGAGCUGGUGGAGGGCAAGCAGUGCUGUUUGGUGGAGAGACCAGCACCAAUGGGUUACCUCUGUGGCAAAGCAACAGAAGUGCUGGGCAUCCAGUGAUUUCAUGCCGUGCCUGCAGGGAUUGCCAGAGAAGAGGUUUCACCACAUGCUCGAGGGGUCAGAAGCACUUGUACUAUAGAUGACUAUUGAUUUCCAGAAGGGAAGCAACUGAUGGAUUGCUGCAGGUCCACCUCUAGAAAUUGCCCAAGUGCUGCUUGACCCACUGUUCUUCACGCGCCCGCGGGGAGUGACUCCCCCAGCAGAAGCAACAGCAGCAGCGACAAAGAUGAAUGGCUUAUUUCCCCCAUAAUGCAACACAGAAACAGGUUUCUAUGAAAAAUAGAGCGCAGACUGAGACAGAGAGGGCGACAGUCACUUUUGAAGGUCACACAUAAUAUUUCUUUAUGGCAAGUUUUCCUUCUGUGAGUGAGAAAAGCGGGACGGAUCAAGUGUCUUCCAACGGACCUGGAUUAAAAAUGAAGUCAUGUUACUUGGAGAACUGACAGUCCCACCAGCAAUAAUAGAGGCUGCUGACAGUUCUGGCUUCACAAUAAAAAGCAUCUUCCCACGUUGUCAAAA